rnacentral:tRNA from 1 species
GCUCCCGUAGUGUAGUCCGGCCAAUCAUUUCAGCCUCUCGAGCUGAGGACCAGGGUUCAAAUCCCUGCGGGAGCA